AAAAUGACAGCAGCUGAUAAAAAAAUGGCGAGAAAAGAAAUAAAUCAAAAUCUCUAGCACUGUCAAAUUAUUUUUUCAUGUAGUUUUUUUAAAAUUUAGCCGCGAAAUUUUCCGUAUUAUGUUCAGAUAAUUUAACCAUUUCUCCCAGAAAAAUUUUUAGUGCGAUAUCUUAAUAAUUAAAGACGGUAACGAUGGACAAACCGGGUACCAGCGUUGAAGAAAUAUCUAGCUUAAGCUUGGACAGCUCGAUGGAUUCAUUGAAGAGCCACAACAGCUCUGGAGACCUUAUUCGUUCUCUGUACAAGUCAGAUUUUGCUCUAUGGAGCGGUAUGAACCUGAAACCUCAUCUCGAAUCUCCCAAUUCCCAAUGCCGAUCCUGUAAAUCCCUUAGGGCCCUUAUACAGAACGAUAUCAAGGAAAACGACAGUGCCCACGUUAUACACGAACCAUGUAUACCUCAGGACCAAUGGCUGAUGGGCGGUCAGCUGGGGUCCAGAAACGCCAUUUUGGUGUUCAAAAGUUCCGCGCUGGCCAAUCCUUCCGAAGAGGCCAAUCAGGAUAAGCCUGGUCACAAACUACACGUAACUUAUAAGGUGUUGCAAGCUGAGACAAAAUUAUUGUCUAAAUUGUUAGACUGUCACGGCAUAAUGGAGGUGGCACCUAAUUCAAGCGAUUUUAAUUUAUUGUGGACUGGAUCUCAUCCUAAACCAGGCAUCCUAAGAGCUCUGGCCCCUCACCAAAGAGUCAACCACUUCCCCCGAUCCUACGAACUAACCCGAAAAGACCGUCUCUACAAGAACAUCGAACGCAUGCAACACCUCAAAGGCCCCAAACACUUCGAUUUCAUCCCCCAAACCUUCGUCAUGCCCACCGAGUUCAAAGAGCUGUGUUCCGUCCACCACAAGGUCAGGGGUCCGUGGAUAGUCAAGCCGGUAGCGUCCAGCAGAGGGCGGGGCAUAUUCAUAGUGGAAACCCCCAACCAGGUGUCGCUAGAAGAGCCUCUGGUCGUGGCCAAGUAUAUUUCGAAUCCGUUCCUGGUCGCUGGGCAUAAGUGCGAUUUGAGGUUGUACGUUGUGGUGACGAGUUUUGAUCCGUUGCUGAUCUAUAUUUACGAAGAGGGGUUGGUGAGGUUCGCAACCGUCAAAUACGAUUCUAGUCAUAAGCAGCUGUGGAAUCCGUGCAUGCACCUUUGUAAUUACAGUAUUAACAAGUAUCAUAGCGAUUACGUUAAAUCAGACGAUCCUAGUGCCGAAAAUGUCGGACACAAAUGGACCCUAAGCGCAUUGUUACGUCACUUAAAGUCUGAGGGCAAGGACACAGCAUUGCUGAUGUCACAGAUCGAAGAUGUAGUUAUCAAGGCUGUUUUGGCUUCAGCUAAUUCUAUUAUAUCUGCCUGCAAAAUGUUUGUGCCCCACCAAAACAACUGUUUCGAACUGUAUGGAUUUGACAUUCUAAUUGAUUCUAACCUCAAACCUUGGCUGUUAGAAGUCAAUCUUUCUCCAUCUUUAAAUUGUGACAGUCCGCUAGAUGUCAGACUUAAAUCCGCCAUGUUGGCCGACCUGCUCACAUUGGUCGGAAUUCCAGCGGUAGAUCCUAUACUUAGACCAAGCAGUACAGUCAAUCUCUCAAAAGCUAGUUUGAGCCUGAAAAUGAAGUUUAGCAACUGCCGCCGUGUACAUUCUGCCGACGGCCUAAGCAACACCUUCCCAAAGAAACAGCCUCAAACUGCCGCAAGUUCUCGUAGGAUAUCCUCUGCCUCUUUGCAGCCCACUCCAGAAGAAACUAGAAUAAUCAAGAACGCCCAGUCGCAGUUCGAACGAAGAGGAGGCUUUGUCAGGAUAUUCCCGGCCGUUGACAGUUGGUCGCGCUACUCUCAGUACCUGGAUGCUAACACUGGUAUUCCAUUGUCGGGCACGGCAUCUAGCACCUACCAAUAUAACAACGCGCACAAUUACAACUUACUGUUGUAUUCUGUCUUCUUUCCCGAAGAAUCCGCCACUGUUUUCAGGAAUACCGAUAAAUCAAACCCCAGAGCCAAGUUUACGUCACUAGAACGCAAGAGGGAGCCAUCUUUAGACAAUCAACCAGCAAGAUUAAACAGUAGACAGGACAGAUACGAGCGUAUGUUGAACAGGGGCUACAAACAAUCUUUGGCUCCUUGCAAGACCGCGCAGGAUCCGGUGAGCGACGAGCUGCGCAGAAAGAUUUUCGAAAUGCUGAAGAACGGAAAGAAAAUAACGCAAUGCGAGGCCCGCAAAACGUUCAGCCAGUAUUUGGUGUGCGUGUUGAAGAAAAUCGUGACUGCGCCGGACCAAGACGAGCAUGUCGAGAUCGUUUUGAAGUUUUUGCAAAAGGCUUCGAACUAUUUACGAUCACCAUAUGUUGUCAAGGCUCCAAGUCUCCAACUAGACACCAAGGACCGCGCGGCGAUCGUCGCCAAACAACUAAACGAUUUUCUCUAUUUGUACAACAGAGAAACUGAACUUUUUGUCGAUAAAUCAGACAAACCCAGCCAGAUUCCCAAGGCCCUCUAUCACGAAUUUCUCGAAAAGGCUCGAGAGUCCGAUUUAGAGGAGGUCUUGAUCCAUCAAACCACUCAUAAAGCACCGACAUACGCUGUAGGAUUUCAAGGAGUUCUAAAAUGCAUUCCCAACGUGCCCAAACAGUACGGCUUAAAACCGCCUUAUAAGCCGAACAAGCUAUGCAAAGGGGUUAGGGUUGCUUCUAGUUCGUGAUUUAGUCGGCAAAAUGGAUGUAGGUGGCGCUGGUAGCCUCAUUUUCUACCAUAAUGAUGUCGAAACUCUUCUAAACAAUUCGACAUAUUUAAUGGUAGAUCAUGUUAACGAAGUUUGGCUUUCCAUUUGUAGCUGGAGCCACAGGUAAGAGCCAUCUGUCAAAUAUCUGCCGACAUUUUGGUGGCAGUCAAUGAUAUUUUAGAUCUCUUCUAUAUCUAUGUACUGGAUAUGUUGUAAUGCCAAAAUAGUUUUGUUUCUUUUUUUUCUUUGUUGCUAAUUUAAUGUGUUGUAAACCAAAAAAAAAGGAUGCUGUAUUUGUUCAAAACGAUAUUUCUGUGAUACCGGUAGAGAUGACUUAAACAUAACUUUAUUUUAUUACGCAUAUUUCAUUUGUUUGAUAAUUUCUAGAAUAAAAGAAAGUUUAUUUUUAUCGA
rnacentral:misc_RNA from 1 species